GCAGACCGGCCUCGACAGGUCAGCACGGCGAUGAACGCCGCAGCGCAGCUUGUCUCGGAAGCGGCAGAAGCUGGGGCGCAGACCGGCCUCGACAGGUCAGCACGGCGAUGAACGCCGCAGCGCAGCUUGUCUCGGAAGCUGCAGAAGCUGGGGCGCAGACCGGCCUCGACAGGUCAGCACGGCGAUGAACGCCGCAGCGCAGCUUGUCUCGGAAGCGGCAGAAGCUGGGGCACAGACCGGCUUCGACAGGUCAGCACGGCGAUGAACGCCGCAGCGCAGCUUGUCUCGGAAGCGGCAAAAGCUGGGGCACACGCCGGCUUCGACAGGUCAGCACGGCGAUGAACGCCGCUGCGCCGCUUGUCUC
rnacentral:lncRNA from 1 species